GAUGAACGCUGGCGGCGUGCCUAAUACAUGCAAGUCGAGCGAACAGACGAGGAGCUUGCUCCUCUGACGUUAGUGGCGGACGGGUGAGUAACACGUGGAUAACCUACCUAUAAGACUGGGAUAACUUCGGGAAACCGGAGCUAAUACCGGAUAAUAUAUUGAACCGCAUGGUUCAAUAGUGAAAGACGGUUUUGCUGUCACUUAUAGAUGGAUCCGCGCCGCAUUAGCUCGUUGGUAAGGUAACGGCUUACCAAGGCAACGAUGCGUAGCCGACCUGAGAGGGUGAUCGGCCACACUGGAACUGAGACACGGUCCAGACUCCUACGGGAGGCAGCAGUAGGGAAUCUCCCGCAAUGGGCGAAAGCCUGACGGAGCAACGCCGCGUGAGUGAUGAAGGUCUUCGGAUCGUAAAACUCUGUUAUUAGGGAAGAACAAAUGUGUAAGUAACUAUGCACGUCUUGACGGUACCUAAUCAGAAAGCCACGGCUAACUACGUG
rnacentral:rRNA from 1 species